rnacentral:rRNA from 1 species
CCUACGGGAGGCAGCAGUGGGGAAUAUUGCACAAUGGGGGAAACCCUGAUGCAGCGACGCCGCGUGAGUGAAGAAGUAAUUCGUUAUGUAAAGCUCUAUCAGCAGGGAAGAAAAUGACGGUAGCUAAGGAGCAAGCCACGGCUCACUACGUGACAGCAGCCGCGGUAAUACGUAGGUGGCAAGCGUUGUCCGGAAUUACUGGGUGUAAAGGGAGCGCAGGCGGGAAGCCAAGUCAGCUGUGAAAACUACGGGCUUAACGUGUAGGCUGCAGUUGAAACUGGUGUUCUUGAGUGAAGUAGAGGUUGGCGGAAUUCGUAGUGUAGCGGUGAAAUGCGUAGAUAUUCGGAGGAACACCGGUGGCGAAGGCGGCCAACUG